rnacentral:rRNA from 1 species
GACGAACGCUGGCGGCGUGCCUAAUACAUGCAAGUCGAGCGCAGGAAGUCGGCGGAACCCUUCGGGGGGAAGUCGACGGAAUGAGCGGCGGACGGGUGAGUAACACGUAAAGAACCUGCCCUCAGGUCUGGGAUAACCACGAGAAAUCGGGGCUAAUACCGGAUGGGUCAUCGGACCGCAUGGUCCGAGGAUGAAAGGCGCUCCGGCGUCGCCGGGGGAUGGCUUUGCGGUGCAUUAGCUAGUUGGUGGGGUAAUGGCCCACCAAGGCGACGAUGCAUGGCCGACCUGAGAGGGUGGUCGGCCACACUGGGACUGAGACACGGCCCAGACUCCUACGGGAGGCAGCAGUAGGGAAUCUUCCACAAUGGACGAAAGUCUGAUGGAGCAACGCCGCGUGAACGAUGAAGGCCUUCGGGUCGUAAAGUUCUGUUGUAAGGGAAGAACAAGUGCCGCAGGCAAUGGCGGCACCUUGACGGUACCUUGCGAGAAAGCCACGGCUAACUACGUACCAGCCGCCGCCGUAAAAC